rnacentral:rRNA from 1 species
GAUUAAGCCAUGCAUGUGUAAGUAUAAAUAGUUAACUUUGAAACUGCGAAUGGCUCAUUAUAUCAGUUAUAGUUUAUUUGAUGAAGAAUACUAAUUGGAUAACCGUAGUAAUUCUAGAGCUAAUACAUGUAUAAGGUCUUGUAGACUGCAUUUAUUAGAAUGAAAACCAUAAGUUUCGGCCUAUUCGUGAGUAAUAAUAACUAAUCAUAUCGUAUGCUUAUGUAACGAUGUGUCUUUCAAGUUUCUGCCCUAUCAGCUUUCGAUGGUAGUGUAUUGGACUACCAUG